AGCGAACGCUGGCGGCAGGCCUAACACAUGCAAGUCGAACGGACCCUUCGGGGUUAGUGGCGGACGGGUGAGUAACACGUGGGAACGUGCCCUUUGGUUCGGAAUAGCUCCUGGAAACGGGUGGUAAUGCCGAAUGUGCCCUUCGGGGGAAAGAUUUAUCGCCAUUGGAGCGGCCCGGGUCUGAUUAGCUAGUUGGUGAGGUAAAGGCUCACCAAGGCUACGAUCAGUAGCUGGUCUGAGAGGAUGAUCAGCCACAUUGGGACUGAGACACGGCCCAAACUCCUACGGGAGGCAGCAGUGGGGAACCUUGCGCAAUGGGCGAAAGCCUGACGCAGCCAUGCCGCGUGAAUGAUGAAGGUCUUAGGAUUGUAAAAUUCUUUCACCGGGGACGAUAAUGACGGUACCCGGAGAAGAAGCCCCGGCUAACUUCGUGCCAGCAGCCGCCGUAAAAC
rnacentral:rRNA from 1 species